UACGAAGGGGGCUAGCGUUGCUCGGAAUGACUGGGCGUAAAGGGCGCGUAGGCGGUUUGGACAGUCAGAUGUGAAAUUCCUGGGCUCAACCUGGGGGCUGCAUUUGAUACGUUCGGACUAGAGUGGGGAAGAGGGUCGUGGAAUUCCCAGUGUAGAGGUGAAAUUCGUAGAUAUUCGCAAGAACACCAGUGGCGAAGGCGGCUCACUGGCCCGGUACUGACGCUGAGGUGCGAAAGCGUGGGGAGCAAACAGG
rnacentral:rRNA from 1 species